rnacentral:rRNA from 1 species
GCAUAUCAAUAAGCGGAGGAAAAGAAACUAACAAGGAUUCCCCUAGUAACGGCGAGUGAAGAGGGAAAAGCCCAAGUUUGAAAGCUGGCACCUUCGGUGUCCGCAUUGUAAACUCGAGAAGCGUUAUCCGCGCCGGACCCAGACUUUAAGUCCAUUGGAAUAUGGCACCAUAGAGGGUGAUAGUCCCUUUCAUGGUCUGGAACCCCCGGAGCUUUGUGAUGCGCUCUCCAAGAGUCGAGUUGUUUGGGAAUGCAGCUCAAAAUGGGUGGUAAAUGCCAUCUAAGGCUAAAUAUAGAGGAGAGACCGAUAGCGAACAAGUACCGUGAGGGAAAGAUGAAAAGAACUUUGGAAAGAGAGUUAAACAGUACGUGAAAUUGCCGGAAGGGAAGGACAGGGAGUCAGUUAUGGACCUUGCGGAUUCAGCUUGACCUUUCGAGGUUGGGUCUAUGUCUGCUUGGACCAGGCCAGCAUCGAUUUUGGCUGCCGGAUAUUAGUAGGGGGAACGUAGCAUUUUCUUCGGAACAAUGUGUUUAUAGACCUUUGCUUGGUACGGCGGCUGGGAUCGAGGAACGCAGUGCACCCUUCGGGGCGGGCCUUCGGGCACCUUUGCACAUAGGAUGUUGGCUUAAUGGCUCUCUAUCACCCGUCUUGAAACACGGACCA